ensembl:lncRNA
ACCAUGGCAAGGAUAGUUGGUUAAGUAACAUGUCACCACUUAGAAAAGUCUGACUACACGAAAGCCGGCCAUACCGGAAACCCAGUGACAAAACAAGGGCCUUCAGCUGCCAAAUUCCGUUAGAAAAAGGUAGCUCAUCCACCAUGUCAGAACAGGAAGAUCCAAAUACAUCCACUAUGGCAGAAGAGAAAGAUCCAGACUCAUCUACCAUGGCAGACGAUGAAGUUCCAGGCCCCCCGGCCACUAAAGAACAUAAAAAACUGCUUGUCUGCACAGUUGGGAAAGAGAGAUGGCCCUGUAUUUACCAGAAAAGGAAGCUCAUCCACCAUGGCAGAAGAGGAAGAUCUAGACUCAUCCACCAUGGUAGAAGAGGAAGAUCCACACAUUGUUCUCAUGAUGUUGCUUGCAAGCAAGAUGAAACAUCACAGAGGACCACUGUAUGAGUCAUAAACUCAGCAAAAAAAGGAAAGUCCUCUCACUGUCAACUGCGUUUAUUUUCAGCAAACUUAACAUGUGUAAAUAUUUGUAUGAACAUAACAAGAUUCAACAACUGAGACAUAAACUGAACAAGUUCCACAGAUGUGACUAACAGAAAUUGAAUAAUGUGGCCCUGAACAAAGGGGGGGUCAAAAUCAAAAGCAACAGUCAGUAUCUGGUGUGGCCACCAGCUGCAUUAAGUACUGCAGUGCAUCUCCUCCUCAUGGACUGCACCAGAUUUGCCAGUUCUUGCCGUGAGGUUUUACCACACUCUUCCACCAAGGCACCUGCAAGUUCCCGGACAUUUCUGGGGGAAAUGGCCCUAGCCCUCACCCUCCGAUCCAACAGGUCCCAGACAUGCUCAAUGGGAUUGAGAUCCAGGCUCUUUGCUGGCCAUGGCAAAACACUAACAUUCCUGUCUUGCAGGAAAUCACACACAGAACAAGCAGUAUGGCAGGUGGCAUUGUCAUGCUGGAGGGUCAUGUCAGGAUGAGCCUGCAGGAAGGGUACCACAUGAGGGAGGAGGAUGUCUUCCCUGUAACGCACAGCGUUGGGAUUGCCUGCAAUGAUAACAAGCUCAGCCUGAUGAUGCUGUAGCACACCUCCCCAGACCAUGAUGGAUCCUCCACCUCCAAAUCAAUCCCGCUCCAGAGUACAGGCCUCGGUGUAACGGUCAUUCCUUCGACAAUAAACGCUCACCCCUGGUGAGACAAAACCACGACUGGUCAGUGAAGAGCACUUUUUGCCAUUCCUGUCUGGUCCAGCAACGGUGGGUUUGUGCCCAUAGGGGAUGUUGUUGCCGGUGAUGUCUGGUGAGAACCUGCCUUACAACAGGCCUACAAGCCCUCAAUCCAGCCUCUUUCAGCCUAUUGCGGACAGUCUGAGCACUGAUGGAGGGAUUGUGCGUUGCUGGUGUAACUCGGACAGUUGUUGCCAUCCUGUACCUGUCCCGCAGGUGUAAUGUUCAGAUGUACCGAUCCUGUGCAGGUGUUGUUACACGUGGUCUACCACUGCGAGGACGAUCAGCUGUCCACCCUGUCUCCCUGUAGCGCUAUCUUAGGCGUCUCACAGUACGGACAGUGCAAUUUAUUGCCAUGGCCACAUCUGCAGUCCUCAUGCCUCCUUGCGGCAUGCCUACGGCACAUUCACGCAGAUGAGCAGGGACCCUGGGCAUCUAUCUUUCUUUUGGUGUUUUUCAGAGUCAGUAGAAAGGCCUCUUUAGUGUCCUAAGUUUUCGUAACUGUGCCUACCGUCUGUAAGCUGUUAGUGUCUUAAUGACCAUUCCACAGGUGCAUGUUCGUUAAUUGUUUAUGGUUCAUUGAACAAGCAUGGAAAACAGUGUUUAAACCCUUUAUAAUGAAGAUCUGUGAAGUUAUUUUGAUUUUUCAUCCUGAAAAGGGACGUUUCUUUUUUUUGCUGAGUUUAGUACCCAUUAAUCUAGUGGUCAAGCAGGGAAAUGGUUCCAAUCAUUUUUCCACCAUUCAUUUAUCCCAGGGGGGAUUUUAGAAACACUUAAAAGAAGGGCUUGUGUUUCGAGUACGCUUACACUGGCAUGAUGUUUUGAUAACCGUGUAAAACUCUCUAGGACAAGGGAACUUUCAUCAAUAUAUUCACUUGUAUUUACCCCCAAAAUGAAAUGCUAAUUAGCUGCUCAAAUGUUCAAAAGGAGGCCUUCACAAGGUUCCUACUACUGUAUCUGUCUAGAUGGGAGGGCGAAGUUUGAGAGAGUGGAAGUGUGUAUGUGUUUGUAUUUAUCUUUUGAUAUACUGGUCAGUAUCAUAAUCCAUAUUUCAUCAAUUUACAGUUAUAUUUUCAUUAUUAUUCUUAAUUUUAACUAGUUGUGUGAAUGAGAGUAUGUGAUGUCAUUUUGUUGUAUUAUCAUUUUGUUCUCUUUAUGUUCCCUCUAUCUCUGAUCACAGAUUUGCACCUGUGACAGAGGGGAAGUGUAUUUAUUUGGGCGCUAUGGGGUGGGGCUACAAGUCUACUCAGUUCUUGGCCUGGGAGAGCCCUUCUGUAUUGCCAUCUGUACUAUGAUUUGUUUGUUAUUUUCAGCCUGAGGGAUGUAAGAAUAUACAUUAAAUCUCCCUUUACUUUUCGCAUGAUACAACAUGAUCCUGAGUUUCAUUCAAUACAUUCCAGGCAACGGCCGGUCUGUGACAAUGUAGCUAUCAUAAAGAACUACAAAUGCCAUGAUGAUCUAGACAAGACUGCUGAAUAGAGGCAAAGUUAAGAAUCCCUCUGGAUUAACUAUCUAAUGUUAGCUAAAUGUAGUAAUGAAUAAAUUGGCAACAUUUCUUUAAAUAGACAAUUCUGGGAACUGUCUUGUGCAAGUUUUAAAUUGACACAAUACCUGUUAGCAAAUGUGUCAG